GUGGCCCUACGGGGCGCAGCAGUGAGGAAUAUUGGUCAAUGGGCGGGAGCCUGAACCAGCCAAGUCGCGUGAGGGACGACGGUCCUAUGGAUUGUAAACCUCUUUUGUCGGGGAACAAAGGCGCCCACGGGUGGGCGGAUGAGAGUACCCGAAGAAAAAGCAUCGGCUAACUCCGUGCCAGCAGCCGCGGUAAUACGGAGGAUGCGAGCGUUAUCCGGAUUUAUUGGGUUUAAAGGGUGCGCAGGCGGAAGAUCAAGUCAGCGGUAAAAUUGAGAGGCUCAACCUCUUCGAGCCGUGGGAACUGG
rnacentral:rRNA from 1 species